GCAGCCAGCGCCGGCCUCGUCGGCGACCAUGUCGGACGGAAGCGGCACAGGGUGGCCUCCUUCCGCGUCCCCUCAAUCCUGCAGGCCGCCCAAACUCGCUGUUCCCAGCCACAAGCACGGCGGCUUCCUCUGCCCCGACCACCGUCGACCUGGUCCUUGGGCCAUCCGCAAGCGCGUCUUGGUAGUUAACUCAUCCGCUGGUUAGCGAAGAUUGCAAAAUGUUUACUAUUGCGAAACCCCAAAACUACAUGGUUGUGCUUAUUUGUCCUUCUGAAUCCAAUUGUCAUAGCUCGACAACAGUUUGAAAGGCAGACUUGGAAACACUCACACUUCCCUUUCCUUUGUCUAUGCUUGGUCUGUCAUGGAAGUAAAAUUGCAGAAUAGCCCAUCAUGAUUGGGGUGAGUUUAUAAGAUUUCGCCGGAUUGGCUGCACAUUGGAGAAGACUAUGGGUAUUCGUUUCAAAAUCUCACCAGGUACUAA